rnacentral:rRNA from 1 species
UACAGAGGUCCCGAGCGUUGUUCGGAUUUACUGGGCGUAAAGGGCGCGUAGGCGGCGUGUUAAGUCACUUGUGAAAUCUCUAAGCUUAACUUAGAACGGUCAAGUGAUACUGAUGUGCUAGAGUGCAGAAGGGGCAACCGGAAUUCUUGGUGUAGCGGUGAAAUGCGUAGAUAUCAAGAGGAACACCUGAGGUGAAGACGGGUUGCUGGGCUGACACUGACGCUGAGGCGCGAAAGCUAGGGUAGCAAACGGG